UAUCUGGUUGAUCCUGCCAGUAUUAUAUGCUGAUGUUAAAGAUUAAGCCAUGCAUGUGUAAGUAUAAAGUCCAAGAAGGAUGAAACUGCGGACGGCUCAUUACAACAGUUAUAGUUUCUUUGGUUAGUACUAUACAAGGAUACCUUUGUGAAUGAUAAAGUUAAUACUUGAGACGCUCCUGCGAGUAGAAAUACUUGUGGGCAUGGAGUUGUAAAAUUCCAUAGCAAUGAUAUCCAAGAUGAAAAUGGAUACCACGACAAUUGUAGAAUGCUACGCGUUUAACAAGUAAUCAAUGAAAAUAUCUGAUCUAUCAAUUUGUUGGUAGUAUCGAGGACUACCAAGAUGAUCACGGAUAACGAGGAAUUAGGGUUUGACAUCGGAGAGGGAGCUUUACAGAUGGCUACCACUUCUAAGGAAGGCAGCAGGCGCGUAAAUUACCCAAUUCCGACACGGAGAGGUAGUGACGACAAUUAACUCUAGAGGUGGUUUACCACUUCUUGAAGGAAUGAGUAGGAAGCAAAGUCUCCUACAAAAUCAAUUGGAGGGCAAGUCUGGUGCCAGCAGCCGCGGUAAUUCCAGCUCCAAUAGUGUAUAUUAAAGUUGUUGUGAUUAAAACGCUCGUAGUUGAAUAUUAAAUUGAUGGAAGCGCUACGGAAAACCAAGUGAUUGGAAAGAAGUAGUGCAAAAGAAUCCAUCGAGCAAGGCGACUUUGUAAAACAUACGAAGUCAUUACUUUGAAAAAAAUAGAGUGUUUCAAGCAAAACAUCCUGUUAAUGAAUAAUGAAGCAUGGGACAAUGCGAAGGAGAUUCCUGCAAAGGGAUUUCGAGAGAAGGAUUAAAAGGAGUAAUUGGGGUGAUUCAGAAAAUUUUGGGAGAGGUGAAAAUUCAUGAUCAAAAUAAGAUGAACUAGAGCGAAAGCAUUUCACUCAAUUAUAUUCAUUAAUCAAGAACGAAAGUUAGGGGAUCGAAGACGAUCAGAUACCGUCGUAGUCCUAACUAUAAACGAUGUCAACCAAGGAUUGGAUAAAUUCAAGAGAUCUGAAACACGAAGAAUCAACGAUUCCUAGUGAUGAAGAUUUCACUAUUACCUUAUUCAGAACUUGAAGAGAAAUCUCGAGUUAAUAGACUUCAGGGGGAGUAUGGUCACAAGGCUGAAACUUAAAGGAAUUGACGGAAGGGCACACCAGGAGUGGAGCCUGCGGCUUAAUUUGACUCAACACGGGAAAACUUACCAAGACCGAACAUUAUAAGGAAUGACAGAUUAAGAGUUCUUUCAUGAUUUAAUGGGGUGUGGUGCAUGGCCGUUCUUAGUUGGUGGAGUGAUUUGUCAGGUUAAUUCCGGUAACGAACGAGACUGAAACCUAUUAAUUAGUUUUUCAUCCAUGAGGUGAAAAUGUAGUAAUACAACUGCUAUCAGUAGUACUUCUUAAAGGGACACAUUUCAAUUGUUCCACUUUAAUUGGAUCCGUACACUCACGUGUACGACCAUUUAACGUGGAAAAAAGAAAAAGGAAGCAUUCAGCAAUAACAGGUCUGUGAUGCCCUUAGACAUCUUGGGCUGCACGCGCGCUACAAUGGAGUUACUAGAGAGUAUUUUGGUAAGGACGUUUCUUUUCAAGGCUUCGGUCUUGGAUUGAAAAUUGUUCUUAUCGUACCAAGACUGAAAUGGUUUAGGAAAACUCAAAAGAACGUACUUGACUGGGAUAAAUGAUUGGAAUUAUUUGUUUUGAACGAGGAAUUCCUUGUAAUAUCGUGUCAUCAACGCGAGAUGAAUACGUCCCUGCCCUUUGUACACACCGCCCGUCGCUCCUACCGAUUGAAUAAAGAGGUGAAAUUCUAGGACUGAGCCAGUUUACUGGAAUGGAAAUGGAUUUAAACCCCCUUAUUUAGAGGAAGGAUAAGUCGUAACAAGGUUUCCGUAGGUGAACCUGCGGAAGGAUCA
rnacentral:rRNA from 1 species